ensembl:snRNA U6 U6 spliceosomal RNA
GUGCUCACUUCAGCAAGCACUUACACUAAAGUUGAAUAAUACAGAGAAGAUUAGUGUGGCAAGGAUGACACGAAAGUUCGUGAAACAUCCCAUAUUUUU